rnacentral:tRNA from 1 species
GAUAUGGUAAGCUAAUAUAAUAUAUGGAGUCGGCCUAUACAUGCACAUCGGUAAUAACAAGGAAGAAUUGAAAAAAAAUUUUGAUUCAUUAUAAUAAUAACGCUAGUGCCUGUGUCACAUGUAAAUUGUAGGCAGUGAUUAUUAGAAAUAAAUUAACUGUGGAGCACGUUUUCAAUUAAUUGAUGUGAAGGUGUUUUUCGGGUGUUGAUCGUUCCUAAUAUGGGAACCUCCCAGAAGUUCGAAUUACUAUUAGGGAAACUUUCAAAUUCAGAAAAAGAAAAGAUAAAAAAAAUGUUUCAAGAACAUGAUUUUAUUCGUUUCUGAAAUUACUACUUUGUAACACCAUUUCACAAGAAAGUAGCUUCUAUGGCCAAGUUGGUAAGGCGCCACACUAGUAAUGUGGAGAUCAUCAGUUCGAAUCUGGUUGGAAGCA